rnacentral:tRNA from 1 species
GGGCCGGUAGUCUAGCGGAAGGACGCCCAGGGGCGGGCCGAGAAAAAGCCCCGCUGAGGCCUUGCGCGCGGGAGAUCCCGGGUUCGAAUCCCGGCCGGUCCA